AUUGAACGCUGGCGGCAGGCCUAACACAUGCAAGUCGAACGGUAACAGGAAGCAGCUUGCUGCUUUGCUGACGAGUGGCGGACGGGUGAGUAAUGUCUGGGAAACUGCCUGAUGGAGGGGGAUAACUACUGGAAACGGUAGCUAAUACCGCAUAACGUCGCAAGACCAAAGAGGGGGACCUUCGGGCCUCUUGCCAUCGGAUGUGCCCAGAUGGGAUUAGCUAGUAGGAGGGGUAAACGCUCACCAACAAGCUAAUCCCAUC
rnacentral:rRNA from 1 species